GGAAUAUUGCGCAAUGGGCGAAAGCCUGACGCAGCGACGCCGCGUGGGGGAUGAAGGUCUUCGGAUUGUAAACCCCUUUCGGGAGGGAAGAUGGGCUGGGGUAACCCAGUCGGACGGUACCCCCAGAAGCAGCCCCGGCCAACUUCGGGCCAGCAGCCGCGGUAAUACGAAGGUGGCAAGCGUUGUUCGGAUUUACGGGGCGUACAGGGAGCGUAGGCGGUUGGGUAAGCCCUCCGUGAAAUCUCCAGGCUUAACCUGGAAGGUGCAGAGGGGACUGCUCAGCUAGAGGAUGGGAGAGGAGCGCGGAAUUCCCGGUGUAGCGGUGAAAUGCGUAGAGAUCGGGAGGAAGGCCGGUGGCGAAGGCGGCGCUCUGGAACAUUUCUGACGCUGAGGCUCGAAAGCGUGGGGAGCAAA
rnacentral:rRNA from 1 species